rnacentral:rRNA from 1 species
GCUAUACAUGCAGUCGAGCGAGCAGAACCAGCAGAUUUACUUCGGUAAUGACGCUGGGGACGCGAGCGGCGGAUGGGUGAGUAACACGUGGGGAACCUGCCCCAUAGUCUGGGAUACCACUUGGAAACAGGUGCUAAUACCGGAUAAGAAAGCAGAUCGCAUGAUCAGCUUAUAAAAGACGGCGUAAGCUGUCGCUAUGGGAUGGCCCCGCGGUGCAUUAGCUAGUUGGCAAGGUAACGGCUUACCAAGGCAAUGAUGCAUAGCCGAGUUGAGAGACUGAUCGGCCACAUUGGGACUGAGACACGGCCCAAACUCCUACGGGAGGCAGCAGUAGGGAAUCUUCCACAAUGGACGCAAGUCUGAUGGAGCAACGCCGCGUGAGUGAAGAAGGUUUUCGGAUCGUAAAGCUCUGUUGUUGGUGAAGAAGGAUAGAGGUAGUAACUGGCCUUUAUUUGACGGUAAUCAACCAGAAAGUCACGGCUAACUACGUGCCAGCAGCCGCGGUAAUACGUAGGUGGCAAGCGUUGUCCGGAUUUAUUGGGCGUAAAGCGAGCGCAGGCGGAAGAAUAAGUCUGAUGUGAAAGCCCUCGGCUUAACCGAGGAACUGCAUCGGAAACUGUUUUUCUUGAGUGCAGAAGAGGAGAGUGGAACUCCAUGUGUAGCGGUGGAAUGCGUAGAUAUAUGGAAGAACACCAGUGGCGAAGGCGACUCUCUGGUCUGCAACUGACGCUGAGGCUCGAAAGCAUGGGUAGCGAACAGGAUUAGAUACCCUGGUAGUCCAUGCCGUAAACGAUGAGUGCUAAGUGUUGGGAGGUUUCCGCCUCUCAGUGCUGCAGCUAACGCAUUAAGCACUCCGCCUGGGGAGUACGACCGCAAGGUUGAAACUCAAAGGAAUUGACGGGGGCCCGCACAAGCGGUGGAGCAUGUGGUUUAAUUCGAAGCAACGCGAAGAACCUUACCAGGUCUUGACAUCUAGUGCCAUCCUAAGAGAUUAGGAGUUCCCUUCGGGGACGCUAAGACAGUGUGCAUGGCUGUCGUCAGCUCGUGUCGUGAGAUGUUGGGUUAAGUCCCGCAACGAGCGCAACCCUUAUUAUUAGUUGCCAGCAUUAAGUUGGGC